rnacentral:rRNA from 1 species
GAUGAACGCUGGCGGCGUGCCUAACACAUGCAAGUCGAGCGAGGGGAGUUCUUCGGAACAAACCUAGCGGCGGACGGGUGAGUAACACGUGGGCAACCUGCCUUGUAGAGGGGAAUAGCCUUCCGAAAGGAAGAUUAAUACCGCAUAAUAUUGCAGCUUCGCAUGAAGCAGUAAUUAAAGGAGUAAUCCGCUACAAGAUGGGCCCGCGGCGCAUUAGCUAGUUGGUGAGGUAACGGCUCACCAAGGCGACGAUGCGUAGCCGACCUGAGAGGGUGAUCGGCCACAUUGGGACUGAGACACGGCCCAGACUCCUACGGGAGGCUG